rnacentral:rRNA from 1 species
CGGAGGUGCAAGCGUUAAUCGGAAUUACUGGGCGUAAAGCGCACGCAGGCGGUUUGUUAAGUCAGAUGUGAAAUCCCCGGGCUCAACCUGGGAACUGCAUCUGAUACUGGCAAGCUUGAGUCUCGUAGAGGGGGGUAGAAUUCCAGGUGUAGCGGUGAAAUGCGUAGAGAUCUGGAGGAAUACCGGUGGCGAAGGCGGCCCCCUGGACGAAGACUGACGCUCAGGUGCGAAAGCGUGGGGGAGCAAACAGGAUU